AUUGAACGCUGGCGGCAGGCCUAACACAUGCAAGUCGAACGAGUGGCGGACGGGUGAGUAAUGUCUGGGAAACUGCCUGAUGGAGGGGGAUAACUACUGGAAACUGUAGCUAAUACCGCCUACCAUCGUAAGUGCCCAGAUGGGAUUAGCUUGUUGGUGGGGUAACGGCUCACCAAGGCGACGAUCCCUAGCUGGUCUGAGAGGAUGACCAGCCACACGAGAACUGAGACACGGUCCAGACUCCUACGGGAGGCAGCAGUGGGGAAUAUUGCACAAUGGGCGAAAGCCUGAUGCAGCCAUGCCGCGUGUGUGAAGAAGGCCUUCGGGUUGUAAAGCACUGUCAGCGGGGAGGCGUUACCCGCAGAAGAAGCACCGGCUAACUCCGUGCCAGCAGCCGCGGUAAUAC
rnacentral:rRNA from 1 species